rnacentral:sRNA from 1 species
AAGAUUGGCAAGUCGGGCAAGCAGAACCUAAUGGAU